rnacentral:tRNA from 1 species
GCCCGUCUAGCUCACUUGGUAGAGCGCAAGGCUCUUAACCUUGUGUUCCUAGAUUCAAGUAUCAGCGUGGGCG